GGGGCUGUGGCUCAGUGGUAGAGCAUCGGCUCAGCAUGCAGAAAGUUUCAGGUUCGAUCCCAGGAAUCUCCA
rnacentral:tRNA from 1 species